UAAGCUAGAAUUGUCUCCCAGAUGGACAC
rnacentral:sRNA from 1 species